rnacentral:lncRNA from 1 species
AGAAUAUCGACGGUGAAACUACCAAACCACGUAUCUCGGUUUGCUACGUUGCAGACUUCCUGUUAUACUUUAUUUUUUAAAUGGAAAACUACUCAACGUCAAUUCUUGAGAACUUCCGUGAUUUUUCUUCACUGUGCGAAGAAAAAUCUGUGAAAAUUUCAAGAAAUAAUAAUGAUUUGGUCUCCUUCAAAAAAAUAAAAUGAGAGCGGAGAUUUUUAGACACCGCAAACGAGAUACGUGGUUUGGUAGUUUCACCGUCGAUAUGUACCUAGUUAAUAAUUUUCAAAUUUCAGCCCCAGCAGUGUAACUAUCACAGGUUUAUCAUAUUGUCUCUUCUUAGAUUAUCUUAUCAAAUUUUGAAAAUAGUGGCCAUAUUUUGGAAAUUAUAACAAAAAUGAGCUGUUCUAAAAAGACCUGGCUUGACACUGGAAACAAGGAUGAUUUAAAAGCUCAAGAUUAAAACUAACCUAAUAUAUUAUUUGAACAAAUAUUGACAAAGUUUUGGCAGUUUUAAAACAGGAUCAAUGCAAACUGCCUGCUUUUUUAAUUUAACAAGAUUUUUUUUUUAAUUUAAUCGUGUUCAUUUUCCUAAUGAUUUUUUAAUCCUCCCGAGAACUUGUAAAUCUCUGAAUUGGCACUGCAUGAUAUGUUCAAAUUGGUCUAUCAUGUGACGAUUCUGUUCGUCAGUGCAGUAUUCCAAAGUGGGCAAAGUAUUUCCAAGUGGCAGUAUAGUGGGCAGUAUUCUGUAGGCCUUGUUUUUCCUUUUGCAUUGUUUUUCAAGGAGCCCCUUAGAUUUUGUCUUAAAAGACGGUUCGAAAAAGUUUCAUGGGCCACUUUGAAGAAACUGAAAAUUGUCUAAAAGAGUUCAUAAAGGUGGUUUAAGUAGACCUUUUUUUCAAACAUCCAUAACUUGGUCAAUUCUCAAUCAAAUAAAUUGAUAUUGAUCUCAAUCUAUAACUUUUUCAUGUCUUCUUUCCAAAAAAAAAAAAAAAAAAUAAAUAAAACAAAAAGAAAAAAGAAAAUAAAAAAAAUUAAAAUUGUCUUGAAAAGUAGGUUUGAUCCAAAGCCACAGGCCAUUCAAUAUCUUUUCUGACAGCUCUCAUAGAUCACAAAGGCCUAGAUAUCUUAUAAAAUAAUAAUUCAAGUGCCCUAAUUCUUAUUCCAACAUGUUUAUUUCAGCUCUUCAUAUCUUGUUUAUCUAGAAACUGAAAUGAUUUAUCAUUAAGAGUUUAUAGCAUCUUAUUUUAAAUCUUUUUCAGCACAUUAUAAUGCUCAUCUAUUAAUCAGGAAGUCAGUACCUAUGUAGGUACUCUUCAUUUUUGGUUUUAAGAUCUCUGAUAUUUGUAUUUUUCUAAUAUAAUCGAUUCCUAAAUUCCAAACUCUCUUGCAAUUUCUUUCUCUUACCAACAACUAUUUUAUUUAUAUACUUAUUUCUUCCCCUGUCUUUCUAAAAGAAAUUGACUGCCAUAAGAUU